rnacentral:rRNA from 1 species
AGUGAACGCUGGCGGUAGGCCUACCACAUGCAAGUCGAACGGCAGCACAGUAAGAGCUUGCUCUUACGGGUGGCGAGUGGCGGACGGGUGAGGAAUACAUCGGAAUCUACUUUUUCGUGGGGGAUAACGUAGGGAAACUUACGCUAAUACCGCAUACGACCUACGGGUGAAAGCGGGGGAUCUUCGGACCUUGCGCGAUUGAAUGAGCCGAUGUCGGAUUAGCUAGUUGGCGGGGUAAAGGCCCACCAAGGCGACGAUCCGUAGCUGGUCUGAGAGGAUGAUCAGCCACACUGGAACUGAGACACGGUCCAGACUCCUACGGGAGGCAGCAGUGGGGAAUAUUGGACAAUGGGCGCAAGCCUGAUCCAGCCAUACCGCGUGGGUGAAGAAGGCCUUCGGGUUGUAAAGCCCUUUUGUUGGGAAAGAAAAGCAGCAGGCUAAUACCCCGCUGUUCUGACGGUACCCAAAGAAUAAGCACCGGCUAACUUCGUG